rnacentral:rRNA from 1 species
GCCGCGGUAAUUCCAGCUCCAAUAGCGUAUAUUAAAGUUGUUGCAGUUAAAAAGCUCGUAGUUGAAUUUCGGGGUUAGUAGGUUGGUCGUGCCACUGGUACGUACUGGUCUCACUGACUCCUCCUUCCUGAUGAACUGUAAUGCCAUUAAUUUGGUGUUGCAGGGAAACUGGACUGUUACUUUGAAAAAAUUAGAGUGUUUAAAGCAAGCUAACGCUUGAAUACAUUAGCAUGGAAUAAUGAAAUAGGACGUUCGAUCCUAUUUUGUUGGUUUCUAGGGAUUGACGUAAUGAUUAAUAGGGAUAGUUGGGGGCAUUAGUAUUCAAUUGUCAGAGGUGAAAUUCUUGGAUUUAUUGAAGACUAACUACUGCGAAAGCAUUUGCCAAGGAUGUUUUCAUUAAUCAAGAACGAAAGUUAGGGGGAUCGAAGACGAUCAGAUACCGUCGUAGUCUUAACCAUAAACUAUGCCGACUAGGGAUCGGAUGAUGUUAAUUUUUUAAUGACUCAUUCGGCGCCUUACG